AGCCCCGCGGCAAGGGAGUUGCGGGCGCGCAAGAAUGGCAAUGUGGACCUCUGUGAUGGGACAACUGGUGGGAUCUCACAUCCAGUUCUGUGUCAAAGGAGGAUGAAGACUAAGGACUCAUGAGGAAGCUGGAUUACUGGACGAGAGCAAUGUUCUAGAAGGGAAGACCAGAAAAUGAGAUGGUGGAGUUUAAUAAGGCUGGACAGACAGUUUUGAAAGUAAGUAUUGAAAAAUGCUUGAAUCUAGGCCAAUAAAAAGGGACAUGCAGAGAUUUUAAAUCCAUCAAAACUCCAGCAUGCAUUGUCUUUGGGUGUUUAGAUAGGUGUAUUUUGCACAACACUCGGGGUUUUUGUAAUGAUGUUGAUCAAAUGUCUGAGCUGAAUGUAACUUGUAGACAAUUUCUAACACUGAAGAACCCUGUGGCAGGCAACUAAAAAUAGUUGAGUGAUGCUUAGCAUAUUUGUAAGAGGUAUUUUCUUUUAAUUCCAGUCACUGUGGUUGCAUGCUUUCAUUUGGAUGGCUUGCCUUGGGUAAGAAGCCAUUGGGGGCCUUGAGUUCAAGAUUAAUUAUAUCCAGCCAUUUGCAAUAUGUGAGAUUUAGCUUUUGGAACAUGCAUGUGUUACCAUCAGUACUAAAUUGCCCUAAAUUUUUUUCAGACACAAAUGGUUUGAAUAAAGAAAGGUAUUACACAUGGAUCCCCUCAGUUGAAGG
ensembl:processed_transcript